AUUGAACGCUGGCGGCAGGCCUAACACAUGCAAGUCGAACGAGUGGCGGACGGGUGAGUAAUGUAUGGGAAACUGCCUGAUGGAGGGGGAUAACUACUGGAAACGGUAGCUAAUACCGCAUACCAUCGGAUGUGCCCAGAUGGGAUUAGCUAGUAGGUGGGGUAAAGGCUCACCUAGGCGACGAUCCCUAGCUGGUCUGAGAGGAUGACCAGCCACACUGGAACUGAGACACGGUCCAGACUCCUACGUGAGGCAGCAGUGGGGAAUAUUGAACAAUGGGCGCAAGCCUGAUGCAGCAAUGCCGCGUGAAUGAAGAAGGCCUUCGGGUUGUAAAGUACUUUCGUCGGGGAAGCGUUACCCGCAUAAGAAGCCACGGCUAACUCCGUGCCAGCAGCCGCGGUAAUUC
rnacentral:rRNA from 1 species